rnacentral:rRNA from 1 species
AUGGCAGCUAUGAAGAGGACCAACACGAGGAUCAUGUGCUUGGCCGCCCUCGCCGUCAUGGCCACCCUCCUCAUCUCCUCUGCCGAACAACAGACAUGCAGCCCGUACCCAAACUGCUUCAGCAACGAGGGAGGAUUGGCGUGCUCCCGCCUGUGCGCGGUGCUGAUCGGGCCUUCCGGCAAAGCCACCUGCCAAGGACACAAGAAUGUGCCUGCCGACAACAAGUGCUGCUGCGCGCCGCCUGCCGGCGGCAGGAAGGAGCGGCUGCGGACGAGCGCACCUCUUCGGACCUCGGAUGUUGCGCCUGCUGGUGCCACAAACGAAGCUGCUUCAUGA